CGUAGACUUUAUACUAGUUCAAAGAAUGGCCGUUCAAAGUGAAGUCUCUCCUUCUCCUCUCCUCUCUCCCUCCCUCUCUCCUCCUCCUCCAACUGAUGAGGAUACCUCCUCGCUCAUAGCUUUGAGCUCUCACUUUGCUCAAGUCCAGUUUAGGUUGAAACAGAUCACUAGUUCUCCUCCUCAACUAAGAGAAAAAUUGCUUAAGGAUCUGGAAUUAUUUGCAUUUCAAGGUUGUCCAAUUGAGCUGGUGACUAGUGAUGAUACUACUGAGGAACAUGAGGGUUCUAAACAGGAGCAAAGUCUCUCUCACCUCUUGGUUCAUCUCCAGUCCCAGAUACACUCAAGAGAAACCACACCUACUGGCCACACCCCCUCUGAUAAUGGAGUCAUUGAUGAAGUGAAAAAACAGUUUAACACACAAUUUGAUGAUGUUGAUAACUCUACUACUAAAAACGAUGAUAUGGUGAGACAGUUGGCCAGUCAGGUAAGGUCCAUGGAGGAGUACAUCAGUACAUUGCAGUCUGAAUUAUUAACCCUCUCGGCAACCAACAACCACAGCAAUGAUGAUAAUGAAUCAGCUUAUAAAGUCACGUGGUGUCAAGGCCCAUCGACAGACGAACUGAUAGAGUUGCAUAAAGCAUCAUCAGAGGAAAGCAUUGUACUCACUGGGCGGAGAGGGGGAGGGGCUAAGACUCACACUGCACUGGAUAGAACACUAGCAGUGAUGCAACUCCUAACACUAUGGUACACUGGGCUAUGGUACACUGGGCUAUGGUACACUGGGCUAUGGUGCACUGGGCUAUGGUGCACUGGGCUAUGGUACACUGGGCUAUGGUACACUGGGCUAUGGUACACUGGGCUAUGGUACACUGGGCUAUGGUGCACUGGGCUUUGGUACACUGGGCUAUGGUACACUGGGCUAUGGUGCACUGGGCUUUGGUACACUGGGCUAUGGUACACUGGGCUAUGGUACACUGGGCUAUGGUACACUGGGCUAUGGUACACUGGGCUAUGGUGCACUGGGCAUGGUACACUGGGCUAUGGUACACUGGGCUAUGGUGCACUGGGCUAUGGUACACUGGGCUAUGGUACACUGGGCUAUAGUGCACUGGGCUAUGGUGCACUGGGCUAUGGUACACUGGGCUAUGGUACACUGGGCUAUGGUGCACUGGGCUAUGGUACACUGGGCUAUGGUACACUGGGCUAUAGUGCACUGGGCUAUGGUGCACUGGGCUAUGGUACACUGGGCUAUGGUACACUGGGCUAUGGUGCACUGGGCUAUGGUACACUGGGCUAUGGUACACUGGGCUAUGGUGCACUGGGCUAUGGUACACUGGGCUAUGGUACACUGGGCUAUGGUACACUGGGCUAUGGUACACUGGGCUAUGGUGCACUGGGCUAUGGUACACUGGGCUAUGGUACACUGGGCUAUGGUGCACUGGGCUAUGGUACACUGGGCUAUGGUACACUGGGCUAUGGUGCACUGGGCUAUGGUACACUGGGCUAUGGUACACUGGGCUAUGGUGCACUGGGCUAUGGUACACUGGGCUAUGGUACACUGGGCUAUGGUGCACUGGGCUAUGGUACACUGGGCUAUGGUACACUGGGCUAUGGUACACUGGGCUAUGGUACACUGGGCUAUGGUACACUGGGCUAUGGUGCACUGGGCUAUGGUACACUGGGCUAUGGUACACUGGGCUGUAUAAUAUUAUAUGUAAUUGUGUACUGAUAAUGGAGGGAAAUCUUCAGUAAUUGUUUUCCCUCUAUGUACUGUAUAUUGUAUUGCUACAGGCAGUGUGGUGGUGUGUUUAAUUGUUUGCCUGAUUCAUCCUCUGAAAUGACUAGUAAACCAACUAUACCAUCACCGUCAGCACUGAGGGGAUUGGAAC